GCGGGUUUAGCUCAGUUGGGAGAGCGUCAGACUGAAGUCCACUUCACUCCUAAAUCUGAAGGUCGUGUGUUCGAUCCACACAAACCGCA
rnacentral:tRNA from 1 species